rnacentral:rRNA from 1 species
AGCGAACGCUGGCGGCAGGCUUAACACAUGCAAGUCGAGCGCCCCGCAAGGGGAGCGGCAGACGGGAGAGUAACACGUUGGAACGUACCUUUCAGUUCGGGACAACCAAGGGAAACUUUGGCUAAUACCGAAUACGUCCGUAAGGAGAAAGAUUUAUCGCUGAAGGAUCGGCCCGCGUCUGAUUAGCUAGUUGGUGAGGUAACGGCUCACCAAGGCGACGAUCAGUAGCUGGUCUGAGAGGAUGAUCAGCCUCACUGGGACUGAGACACGGCCCAGACUCCUACGGGAGGCAGCGGUGGGGAAUAUUGGACAAUGGGCGCAAGCCUGAUCCAGCCAUGCCGCGUGGAUGAUGAAGGCCUUAGGGUUGUAAAGUCCUUUUAACGGGGAAGAUAAUGACGGUACCCGUAGAAUAAGCCCCGGCUAACUUCGUGCCAGCAGCCGCCGUAAAAC